rnacentral:misc_RNA from 1 species
CGGCGGCCUUUUAGCCUUUGCUUUGUCGAUUUGAUUUCAAUUUGUCCCGUGAGUUAGUAAAAGAUCAAAUCGAUGACGUUUCGGUUAGAUUGACGCGUUGACGUGUGAGUGGCUAAUUGAAUGUUUGUGUUGGCUGGCUCCCUGCUUGCGCAGCGAACUGUCGGCGCUUACGUAUUUCAAGAGAGUCUGAGUUGAGCUUGUCCGAUUUUUGUGUUGCCCACCUAAGUGAAGGAAUUCUUAUGCCCCGAAUGCGUGACUUCGCUGAACACCCUCGGAGGUGCUCAGCGACAGUUUAAGCUACCCCUUUUUAUGCCAUGCCCUCCCUUUUUUUGGGAACCAUGGAAAAUUGGCGGUGUUGCUUGUUGCCUCGGAUAUAGAGCAUGAAGCGAGCAUGUUGCCUGUCCUCAUUGCUCAUCAAAGCUCUCGAUUGCCCGGAAAGAGUGACUGUCGUGCUUGGUUUUGGCUGUCGACUUGUCGAUCUAGCUCAUAACUUUGCCGACGUCUUCAAUGACUGCUACCUGGUUGAUCCUGCCAGUAGUCAUAUGCUUGUCUCAAAGAUUAAGCCAUGA